AAAAACACAAGGAACAAGCUCACUAACAACUCCACAAGCUACCUAAUUAACACAAUUAAUAACCUUAGUAACCAUUCAAACUAAAAUGUAACACUUGCCCUCUUAACCCAAAACUUAAAUCGAGGGUUUGCCCAAAGAAGGACAACCUUCCAAGGUCGUUGAAUUUAACGACCCAAAACUGCUGCUUCUAAUUCUCAAACUUCCAAAGUUCACAACAUCCCAAAACACCUAUGAAUAACAUAGAACCUAGCAUGCAAUCCUUACUCAUAACCUAGAAUUUCCACAACUCAACAUGCUCACAACAACAAGAGUUAGCUAACCAAAGAAACUAAAGCUACAACACUACCGGACGUGCUGCCACGCACCACCACAGGCGGCGACGAGUGGGCCCCACGCGCCACCCCAUCAACUUCAAAACUGAGCAAGCUCCCAACAACAAACUUGUAGGUCACAUCAAAUGGAACACUUUUCAUACCUGUGGCCAAAGCCAAUUCGGCCGGAAACGUCGCCAGAAAGAAACAAGGAGCACUUUGAACUCAAAACUCCACGCUUUGAAUUGGGCUUCAAGGCUAGUAUCAUUAUGCUCAGAAUGACAAGAACUUCCAGAAAUAGGUAGCCUCAAACCUCGAUGUCGCCUGAAUCAGUAGUAACUUGCGGGCCUUGCUGCGCCGUGCAUAGUGCUUCAUAAGGUGUGAGGCUGGUAUGAAUAGAAAGAAGGGAGUGAGAGCUUUCCAACGAUACCAAGCACGCCUAAAUCCGUCGCCGGAUGGCCGAGUUAUGGCGAGGGUUUUUCUGCAAUUUCAGGGUUUCUAAAAAUAACCCACACAUUUUUCUAUUUAUACACCUUCUAAAAUCGGAAACUAACUUUCUCUGACCAUAACUUUUUCAUACAACAUCCAUUUUACGCGUGUCUCGUGUCUACGAACUCUACAACUUUCAUGAAGAAAGAUUUUGAAAAUAACUUACAGAUAAGAAAGUCAACUUUUGGCCUCUUAAAAGUCAAGGUACCUUAAUAAAAUUGACUCUCGAAACUUCAAUUUCACACAUACAAAACGAAAGGAAUUUCCCACAAAUAAUCCUUCAUUAAUUUUGGAAAUAAUACCGGGAAAAUAAUAUGAAAAUCUGGGGUAUUACAAGGAGGGUUAAGGCGGCCGCUUAGCGGCCCUUGGUUGGUCAAGACGGACCGUUGGAGGCCCCUUGACGGCCCUAGGUGUGCCAUGGCGCCCCUUUGGUUGCCCUAGGUGUGCCUAGCAAGGCCGAGGAAGGUCAAGGAGGGACAAAGGCAACCCCUUGGCGGUUGAAGGCAACCCCUUGGCGGCCCUAGGUAGGUUGAGGCGGCCCUUUGGCGGCCCUAGAUAGGUUAAGGCGGGCCUAGGCAUGUCAAGGCGACACCUUGGUUGCCCUAGACGGCUUAAGGUGGCACCUUGGCGGCUCUAGGUAGGUUAAGGCGGCCCUUUGGUGGCCCUAGACGGGUUAAGGCGAGCCUAGGCAAGUCAAGGUGGCCUCUUGGCUGCCCUAGGCGGGUCAAGACGGUACCUUGGCGGCCCCAGGCACUCCCUUGGCGACACUAGGCGGGCCUAGGAGGGCCAAGGAGGGUCAAGGUGGCCCCUUGGCGACCCUAGGCUGGUCAAGGAGGCCGCUACUGAAGAUGGCCCCUUGGCGGUCCUUGGUGGGUCAUGGCGCCCCUAGGUGUGCCUAGCAGGGCCAACGAGGGUCAAGGCGGGCGAAAAUGGGUCAAGGCGGCUCCUUGGUGACCCUAGACGGGCCUCGGAGGGUUAUGACGACCCAUUGGCGAGUUAUGACUGCUUCAAGGCGGCCCUUGAUGGGCCUAGGAGGGUCAAGGCAUCUGUUUAGCAGGUCAAGGCGGCCCCUUGACGCCCCUAGAUGGGUCAAGGUGGCCUAAGACGGCCCAAGGCAGCUCUUUGGCGACUCUAGGCAGCCCCUUGGCUGCCCUAGGCAAGCCUAGGAGGGCCAAAGAGGGUUAAGGCAGGUUAAGGCGGCCCAUUGGGGGCCCUAGUCAAGCCCAGGAGGAUCAAGGCGGCGCAUUGGCGGCCCUAGUCGGGCCUAGGCUGGUCAUGACGGCCCCUUGGUGGCCCUAGGCGGGUCUAGGCGGGUUAAGGCGGCCUCCUGGCGGCCCUAGGAGGGUCAAGGCGGUCCAAGACCUGUCAAGGAAGCCCAAGGCCGAUCUAGGAGGGUGAAGGCGGCCCCUUAGCAGGUCAAGUUGGCCACUUAGCGGCCCUUGGCAGCCUUAGGUGGGUCAUGGCUCCCAAUGUCGAGCCGAUAUUGUUAUAUGAUUUUUCAAAAUCAAUAUGAAGACCGAGAAUGCGACUUAAAUAUUGACCUUAUGUAAUGGAAAAAAUGUGUUUUCCAACAAAAACCUCUUAAGUUAUGAAUGUCUAACCUAAUAGGAGCCUACUCAUGAAUCUUCUCCAACUUUAAUUUUUUCGUCAAAAACUUGUUUUUCCUCAGAAACUGUGGGUUAUAGUACACAUUUUUCGGGUCAAAAACGCAUGUUCUAACUUUUUUCACAAAAAAUUUCUCACAUUUUAGUCCUGAUGUUUUGGCACUUCUCGAACUGACAGAACAAAAAAAUGUCGAGCCGAUUUUUUUAUAUGAUUUUUCAAAGUCAAUAUGAAGACCGAGAAUGCGACCCUUUAGCAUCCCUAGGAGGCCCCUUGGCGGGUCAUAGCGGCCCUAGGCGGGUCAAGACAGCCCCUUGGCGUCUUUAGGCGGGUCAUAGCAGCCCCUUGGUGGUCCUAGGCGGGUUAAGGCGGAACCUUGGCGGCCCUAGACGGGUCAAGGUGGCCCCUUGACUGCCAUUGGCGGGUCAUGGCGGCCCAUUGGCGUCCCUAAACGAGUCAAGGGGGGCCCUACAAGGGUCAUAGCGGUCCUUGGCGGGUCAAGGCGACCCUUAGACGUGUGAAGGCGGCCAGGCGGCCCCUUGGCGGGUCAAGGUGGCCAUAAGCGACCCUAGGUAGGUAAAGGCAGCUACUUUGCGGUCCUAGGCGGGUCAAGGUGGCCCUUUGGUCUCCCUAGGUCAAGAUGGCCGCCAAGGGGGGUCAUGGCGACCCAUUGGCGAGUCAUGGCGGCUUCUUGGUGGCCCUAGGCGGGCCUUGGAGGGUCAAGGAGGCCCUAAACGGGUCUAGGAAAGUCCAAGCGGCCCAAGGCAGGUCAAGCGGGCCUAAGGCAAGCCAUGGCCAGUCAAUGUGGGUCAAGGCGAACCAUGGCGGGAUAAGGCGGCCUCUUAGCGAAUCUAGACGAGUUAAGGCGGGCCAUUUCUGGACCUAGGAGAGCCAAGGCGGGUAAAGGCGGCCCAUUGCCGGCCCUAGACGAGCCUAAGAGGGUCAUGGUGAACCCUUGGCGAGUCGUGGUGGCCCCUUGGUGGCCCUAGGCGGGCCUAGGAGGGUCAAGGCGGCCCUAGGUGGGUCUAGGAGGGUCAAGGCAGCCCUUUAGCGAGUCAAGGCGGCCCUUCGGCUGCCUUUGACGGGUCAAGACGGCCCUUGGUGCCCCUAGAUGGGUCAAGACGGCCUCUUGGUGGCCCUAGGCGAGCCUAGGACGGCCUAGGAAGGUCAAGACGGCCAUAGGCGGGUCUAGGAGGGUCAUGGCGGCACUUUGGUGGCUCUAGCGGGUCAAGGCAAGCCAAGGCGGCCCCUUGGCGGCGUUAGACGGGUGAACGCAACCCCUUGGCGGCCCUAGCGGGGUUAAGGCGACCUCUUGGCGGCCCUAGGAAGGUUAAGGUGGGCUCUACGCGUCGCUUAGCGGCCCUAGGUAGAUAAAGGCGGGUCAAGGCUGCCGCUUGGCGAACUUAGGCAGGUCAACGAGGCCCCUAGGCGAGUCAAAGAAGUCAUGGCAGACCUAUGAGGGUCAUAGCGGCCCCUUGGUGGCCCUAGGCUAGGAGGGCUACGGCGGUCCUAAGCGGAUCAAAAAGGGUCAAGGCAUCCCUUUAGUGGCCUUAGACGGGUGAACAUGGCCACUUGACGGCCCUGGCGGGGUUAAGGCGGGUCAAUGGUCCAAGGCGGCACUAUGUGGGUCAAAGUGGGUUAAGGCGGCCCUAGACGGGUCAAGGCGGCCCCUUUGCAGCCCUAGACGAGCCUUGGAGGGUCAUGGCGGCACUUAGUGGGUCAAAGAAGGUUAAGGUGGGUCAAGGCGGUCUAAGGCGGGUCAAGGAGGCCGCCAGAUCAAGGCGGCUCAAGGUGGGUUAAGGCGGGUUAAGGCGGGUUAAGGCGGUCUUACACAGGUCUAGACGGCCCUAGACGGGUUAAGACGGCCUUUUGGCUAUCCUAGGAGGGUUAAGGCGGCCCCUUGGUGGCCCUAGGCGAGCCUAGGACGGCCUAGGAGGGUCAAGGCGGCCCCUUGGUUGGCCUAGGCAGCGUCUUGGCGGCCCUAGGCAGUCAAGGCGGCCCAAGGGGGGUUAUGGCGGGUUAAGACGGGUCAUGGCAGUCCAAGGCAUCUUAGCGGCCCAAGGCGGGUCAAGACGGCCAAUUGGCGGCCCUAGGCAAGUCAAGGGCCGCCAAUCCCUAAACCCUAAACCCUAAACCCUAAACCCUAAGCGAGCCUAGGAGGAUCAAGGUGGUCCCUUGGCGGCCCUAGACGGGCCUAGGAUGGUCAUGGCUACCUCUUGGCAAGUCAUGGCGUCCCCUUGGUGGCUCUAGGUGGGUCUCGACCGGCCCUAGGAAGGUUAAACAGCCUUAUGCGUGUAAAGACAGCCUCAUGGCGGGUCAAGAUGUCCCCUUAGCGGCCCAAGGCGUGUCAAGGCGGCCCCUUGACGGCCCCUUGAUGGGUCAACUCAGCCCUUGGCGGCCUAAGACGGGUGAACGCGGCCCUUUGGAGGCCCUAGAUGCGUCAAGGCAGCCUCUUGGUGCCCUUUGGUGGCCCUAGAUGCUUCAAGGCGACCCUAGAAGGGUCAAAGUGGCCCCAUGGCGGCCCUAAGCAUCCCUUUGGCAGGUCAAGACGUUCCCUUAGCGGCCAUAGGCAGGUCAAGACGGCCUCUUGGUGGGCCAUGGCGGGUCAAGUGGGGGCCAAAACAUGUGAAGAUGGUUGCCCUAGAUGGGUCAAGGCGACAUCUUGCCGGCCCUAAGAGAGUUAAGGCGGUCGGGCCAUAGCAAGUCAAAGCGGCCGCUCAGCAGCCCUAAAAUGGUCAAGACGGCCCGUUAGCGGCCCCUUGACGGCCCUAGGUGGGUCAUAGUGCCCCCUUGAUUGCCCUAGGUGUGCCUAACAGGGCCAACGAGGUCAAGGAGAGACAAAGCGGCCACUUGGCUACCCUAGGUAGGUCAAGGCGGCUACUUGGCGGCCCUAGGCAGUUCAAGGCAGCCCCUUGGAGGCCCUAGAUAGGUUAAGGCGGCCCUAGAUGGGUUAAGGCGGGCCUAGACAGGUCAAGGUAGCCCCUUGGCUGCCCUAGGCAGCUCAAGGCGGCACCUUGGCCACCCUAGAUAGGUUAAGGCAGCCCUAGGCAGGUUAAGGCAACCCUUUGGCUACCCUAGACGGGUUAAGCCGGGCCUAGGCAGGUCAAGGCGGCCUCUUGGCUGCCCUAGGUGGGUCAUGCCGGCACCUUGGCGGCACUAGGCGGGCCUAGGAGAGCCAAGGAGGGUCAAGGUGGCCCCUUAGCAGCCUUAGACGGGUGAAGGCGACCCAAGGCAGGUGAAGACGGCCCCUUGGCGGCCCUAGGUGUGUCAUGGCGCCCCCUAGGUGUGCCUAGCAGGGCCGAGGAGGGUCAAGGCGGGCCAAAGCGGGUCAAGGCUAGUCAAGGCGGCCCCUUGGCGGCCCUAGACGAGCCUCGGAGGGUCAUGGCCACCAUUUGGCGAGUCAUGGCGGCUUCAAGGCUACCCUAGGCGGGUAUAAGCACACCCAAAUGGAAAAAGCCGGAGGCCCAAAAAAAGUGAAACUGGGCAGAAACUUUUUUGGCUCGAAUUAGGUGAAACUUGAAGUGAGGGACAAUUCCUCAUAUUUUUUUUUUAAACUAAGGUUUCUGAUGUCAAUAUGAGAAGAAUUGAAGAGAACGUAAUCUUAGAAAGUCACUCAAUACCAAUUAAAACAGAAAUUUCAACAGCAUCACAAAACACGGCACGUGUGUGUUUAUUUAGUCCCAAUCGUGAGUAAAUUGAUAAAAGACACGCAUUUUUGAUAGCUAGAAUGGUUUACUAUAUGUUAGGAGGUGUCUGAACAGAAAAAGCCGGAUGCCCAAAAAAAGUUAAACUGGGCAGAAAUUCGUAUGCUAUGGCAAGAGGUUUUGGCUCGAAUUGGACGAAACUUGAAAUGAGAGACAAUACCUCAUUUUUUUUCGAAACUAAGGUUUCCGAUGUCAAUAUGAGAAGAAUUGAAAAGAACAUAAUCUUAAAAAGUCACUCAAUACCAAUUAAAACAGCAAUUUCAAAAGCUUUAUAAAACACGGCAGGCGUGAGUUAUUUAGGCCCGAUCGCGAGUAAAUUGGUAAAUGACACUGAUUUUUAAGGCUAGAAUGGUUAACUAUAUGUUAGGAGGUGUCUGUAACCACCCUUGAACAAAAAAGCCGGAGGCCCAAAAAAAGUGAAAUUGGGCAGAAUCUCGUGUGUUAUAGUGAGGGGUUUUGGCUCUAAAUGGGUGAAAUUUGAAAUGAGGGACAAUACCUCAUUUUCAUUUAAUAAUAAGGAUCCAGGUGUCAAUAUGAAAAAAUUGAAGAGAACGGAAUCUUGGAAAGUCACUCAAUACAAUUUAAAACUGUAAUUUCAACAACUUUACAAAACACGGCACGCGUGAGUUUAUUUAGGCCCGAUCGCGAGUAAAUUGAUAAAAGACGCGCAUUUUUUGAGCUAGAAUGGUUCACUAUAUAUUAGGAGGUGUUUGUAAGCACACCCGAACGGAAAAAGUCAAAGGCCUAAAAAAAUGUGAAACUGGGCAGAAACUCGUGUGCUAUAGCAAGGGGUUUUAGCUCGAAUUAGGUGAAACUUGAAAUGAGGGACAAUACCUCAUUUUCUUUUGAAACUAGGGUUUCCGAUGUCAAUAUGAAAAGAAUUGAAGAGAACAUAAUCUUAAAAAGUCACUCAAGACCAAUUAAAAUAGCAAUUUUAACAACUUUACAAAACACGGCAGAUAUGAGUUAUUUAGGCCCGAUCGCAAGUAAAUUCAUAAAAGAAAUAGAUUUUUGAAGGUAGAAUGGUUCAAUAUAUUAUAUAUGUUAGGAGGUGUCUAUAACCACACAUGAAAGGAAAAAGCCAGAGUCCCAAAAAAAGUGAAAUCGGGCAGAAUCUCGUGUGUUAUAGUGAGAGGUUUUGGCUCUAAUUGGGUGAAAUUUGAAAUGAGGGACAAUACCUCAUAUUCAUUUAAUAAUAAUUAAGGAUCCCGGUGUCAAUAUGUAACACCCUGACCUAGGUGUUAAAAAAAAUAAAUGAAUAAAAUAAAUAAGGGAAUCCUAAAUCGAUCUCAAAAUCAAACAAAAACAACAAACAAACAUUUUUGACGCGUUUGGAACCUAAAUUUUUAUUUUGUUAAUUUACGGCUGCACCCAACACUUAAUCGGGCUGCCUACGUACCCUUUUAAAGGGAUCAAGCCACUCGUAGUUCAACAUAAAACAAGGAAGCAUACUCAAACUCAAAAACAGUGUGCAAGAUGCCGUCUUUGACAUCAAUUUCUACCCACUCAACUCCAACCAAAAUUACUGAACCCUAGCCUAUUUUAAAGAUGGUACUACAGGCUUUAAAUACAUAGCUUGAGUUUUGAAAACAAAGCCCUGGAUAGAAAGUUAUGAUCUUGCAAAGUUGGAGCAAAAUCUGAAAAUCCAGAAAACUCAGUUUUGCUGAGUCUGCUAUUGUUUUUGACAAGCUAUUUGUCACACCAAAAUGUAACCAAAACCUAUGAAAUUUAUCACACACAAUGAUGGAUAUAUGAGAUUUACCAAGGUAUUUUCAGAUUUCAAAACAAAGGCCUGAGCUGAAAGAUAUCAUGCCUCAAAGUAGGCAAGAAAAUCAGCUUUUCUGCAGAAUUCUGAAAAUUUACAGCAAGAACAAGACUUGGUUUUGGAAGCUUUAAUUCGACUUUUGAAGUAACAAAAACAAGUUCUAAAGCUUCAGAACAGAAAGCAACAGACUUCCAGAACACAAAAAUCAUCUUAAAACAUAACAAACAAGGAAUCAAAAUGACCCAAAAAUUUACUCUAGACACCCAAACUCUGGACAGCAAAACAACAAGGUU
rnacentral:lncRNA from 1 species